AGAGUUUGAUCCUGGCUCAGGAUGAACGCUAGCUACAGGCUUAACACAUGCAAGUCGAGGGGCAGCAUGAACUUAGCUUGCUAAGUUUGAUGGCGACCGGCGCACGGGUGAGUAACACGUAUCCAACCUGCCGAUGACUCGGGGAUAGCCUUUCGAAAGAAAGAUUAAUACCCGAUGGCAUAGUUCUUCCGCAUGGUAGAACUAUUAAAGAAUUUCGGUCAUCGAUGGGGAUGCGUUCCAUUAGGUUGUUGGCGGGGUAACGGCCCACCAAGCCUUCGAUGGAUAGGGGUUCUGAGAGGAAGGUCCCCCACAUUGGAACUGAGACACGGUCCAAACUCCUACGGGAGGCAGCAGUGAGGAAUAUUGGUCAAUGGACGAGAGUCUGAACCAGCCAAGUAGCGUGAAGGAUGACUGCCCUAUGGGUUGUAAACUUCUUUUAUACGGGAAUAAAGUGAGGCACGUGUGCCUUUUUGUAUGUACCGUAUGAAUAAGGAUCGGCUAACUCCGUGCCAGCAGCCGCGGUAAUACGGAGGAUCCGAGCGUUAUCCGGAUUUAUUGGGUUUAAAGGGAGCGUAGGCGGACUAUUAAGUCAGUUGUGAAAGUUUGCGGCUCAACCGUAAAAUUGCAGUUGAUACUGGUCGUCUUGAGUGCAGUAGAGGUAGGCGGAAUUCGUGGUGUAGCGGUGAAAUGCUUAGAUAUCACGAAGAACUCCGAUUGCGAAGGCAGCUUACUGGACUGUAACUGACGCUGAUGCUCGAAAGUGUGGGUAUCAAACAGGAUUAGAUACCCUGGUAGUCCACACAGUAAACGAUGAAUACUCGCUGUUUGCGAUAUACAGUAAGCGGCCAAGCGAAAGCGUUAAGUAUUCCACCUGGGGAGUACGCCGGCAACGGUGAAACUCAAAGGAAUUGACGGGGGCCCGCACAAGCGGAGGAACAUGUGGUUUAA
rnacentral:rRNA from 1 species